rnacentral:rRNA from 1 species
AUUGAACGCUGGCGGCAUGCCUUACACAUGCAAGUCGAACGGUAACGGGCCUUCGGGUGCCGACGAGUGGCGCACGGGUGAGUAAUACAUCGGAACGUGCCCGAUCGUGGGGGAUAACGAGGCGAAAGCUUUGCUAAUACCGCAUACGAUCUACGGAUGAAAGCAGGGGACCGCAAGGCCUUGCGCGGACGGAGCGGCCGAUGGCAGAUUAGGUAGUUGGUGGGAUAAAAGCUUACCAAGCCGACGAUCUGUAGCUGGUCUGAGAGGAUGAUCAGCCACACUGGGACUGAGACACGGCCCAGACUCCUACGGGAGGCAGCAGUGGGGAAUUUUGGACAAUGGGCGCAAGCCUGAUCCAGCCAUGCCGCGUGCAGGAUGAAGGCCUUCGGGUUGUAAACUGCUUUUGUACGGAACGAAAAGCAUUCUUUUAAUACAGGAGGGUCAUGACGGUACCGUAAGAAUAAGCACCGGCUAACUACGUG